UAAACGGUCCUUUUCAGGACCACUAACAACCAAUGAGCACACUCA
rfam:Acyrthosiphon pisum strain LSR1 Contig28610, whole genome shotgun sequence.